rnacentral:rRNA from 1 species
UGGGGAAUAUUGGACAAUGGGGGAAACCCUGAUCCAGCCAUGCCGCGUGAGUGAAGAAGGCUUUAGGGUUGUAAAACUCUUUCGCCGGCAAAGAUGAUGACGGUAGCCGGAGAAGAAGCCCCGGCUAACUCCGUGCCAGCAGCCGCGGUAAUACGGAGGGGGCUAGCGUUGUUCGGAAUUACUGGGCGUAAAGCGCGCGUAGGCGGUGUAUCUAGUCAGAGGUGAAAGCCCUGGGCUCAACCCAGGAACUGCCUUUGAUACUGGUACGCUGGAGUACGGGAGAGGUGAGCGGAAUUCCCAGUGUAGAGGUGAAAUUCGUAGAUAUUGGGAAGAACACCAGUGGCGAAGGCGGCUCACUGGCCCGUUACUGACGCUGAGGCGCGAAAGCGUGGGGAGCGAACAGG